AGUGAACGCUUGCUUUAGGCCUAACACAUGCAAGUCGAACGGCAGCACAGUAAGAGCUUGCUCUUACGGGUGGCGAGUGGCGGACGGGUGAGGAAUACAUCGGAAUCUACUUUUUCGUGGGGGAUAACGUAGGGAAACUUACGCUAAUACCGCAUACGACCUACGGGUGAAAGCAGGGGAUCUUCGGACCUUGCGCGAUUGAAUGAGCCGAUGUCGGAUUAGCUAGUUGGCGGGGUAAAGGCCCACCAAGGCGACGAUCCGUAGCUGGUCUGAGAGGAUGAUCAGCCACACUGGAACUGAGACACGGUCCAGACUCCUACGGGAGGCAGCAGUGGGGAAUAUUGGACAAUGGGCGCAAGCCUGAUCCAGCCAUACCGCGUGGGUGAAGAAGGCCUUCGGGUUGUAAAGCCCUUUUGUUGGGAAAGAAAAGCAGCAGGUUAAUACCCCGCUGUUCUGACGGUACCCAAAGAAUAAGCACCGGCUAACUUCGUG
rnacentral:rRNA from 1 species